CGUGCUUAACACAUGCAAGUCGAGCGGUAAGGCCUUUCGGGGUACACGAGCGGCGAACGGGUGAGUAACACGUGGGUGAUCUGCCCUGCACUUCGGGAUAAGCCUGGGAAACUGGGUCUAAUACCGGAUAUGACCUCAUGUUGCAUGACUUGGGGUGGAAAGAUUUAUCGGUGCAGGAUGGGCCCGCGGCCUAUCAGCUUGUUGGUGGGGUAAUGGCCUACCAAGGCGACGACGGGUAGCCGACCUGAGAGGGUGACCGGCCACACUGGGACUGAGACACGGCCCAGACUCCUACGGGAGGCAGCAGUGGGGAAUAUUGCACAAUGGGCGAAAGCCUGAUGCAGCGACGCCGCGUGAGGGAUGACGGCCUUCGGGUUGUAAACCUCUUUCAGCAGGGACGAAGCGCAAGUGACGGUACCUGCAGAAGAAGCACCGGCUAACUACGUGCCAGCAGCCGCGGUAAUACGUAGGGUGCAAGCGUUGUCCGGAAUUACUGGGCGUAAAGAGUUCGUAGGCGGUUUGUCGCGUCGUUUGUGAAAACCAGCAGCUCAACUGCUGGCUUGCAGGCGAUACGGGCAGACUUGAGUACUGCAGGGGAGACUGGAAUUCCUGGUGUAGCGGUGAAAUGCGCAGAUAUCAGGAGGAACACCGGUGGCGAAGGCGGGUCUCUGGGCAGUAACUGACGCUGAGGAACGAAAGCGUGGGUAGCGAACAGGAUUAGAUACCCUGGUAGUCCACGCCGUAAACGGUGGGCGCUAGGUGUG
rnacentral:rRNA from 1 species